AAAAAUUAUAUAAAUACUGUUCGGCUUCUCGCACAAACCGAUCGUUUCGUUUCUUAGGAUAUCAAUGUGUCGUCACGAGCGGCAGGGUUUAAUUUGGAUUUGUCUGUGCAUGUUUUUACUGUCUGAGAUUUUGUUACUAUUCACAUGCAUACAGACUGAAACGGUUGGAGUUUCUACAUUUGUGUUGUACUGAAGAAACAAAAUCACAUACAUCUUGGAUGGCCUCGGGGUAAGCUGAUAAAUACAAAAAAUUCAUUUUAAGAUGAAUCCCGUACGUUGGCGGCUGUUUUAAACUGGGUGCUCGGCUCCGACCCUUUUGCCAGUAUGAAGCCGAUUUCAACGGUAACUGCAGAAAGCGUCAGCACGCUCAGCUCAUCACUGGAGUAACGUCUGUACAACGGGUGAGAUAAAACUCAACGCCUGACUGAAUCAUCCAUUCCCUUUUCGAUCCUACGCCAUACGUUAAACUUGAGGUAAUCUUGCUUUUGCUGUUCUAAAAUAAACACUGCUCUUAGCACACCACCCAUACAUGGCACACAAAACAGGUCUUGUGAGGGGGCUGUGCCCACAGGUAGAAAUUCUGUAGGUCCACGGGCUUCUCCCCUUUCAGCGAACAUCACAGCGCUUAGUCCACCAUCGUGGUCUCCAAUCUCCAUUACCAACAGCCUGAGUGCUACACCUACAGACACCCCAACCCAUGCAGCAGCUGGCAGAAGUCAGACAUCAGGCCAAACUGGAUUUCAACACACCCCACCCUUACAUGGCACACAAGUAUAUGACACACAACACAGGUCUUCUCAGGAGGCUGUGCCUACAGCAAUAGGCUUUAUGCCCAGCUGCACUACUUCCUGAACUUCAGCCAGCUCCUUGUUUCCUGUCUGCCAUUAUUGGACAAACUGAUUAAUCCAGGUGUGCCUGAGCUUAGUAGUCACAACAACAAUAAUCAGACACACCUGGAUUUAUCAGUUUGUCCAGUAAUGGCAGACAGGAAACAAUGAGCUUAAAGCCUAUUGCUAAGGAGAUCCUCAUCCAGCUCGAUUUUAUUAGAGAGCAGCAGUUGCAGACUUCACCCCAGACCCAACACAUUUUGGGCUCCCACUUUCAACUAUUGAGGAGCUACAAUGUUUGUAGGAGACAUUAAAUAAUCCAGAUGAGAAGAAGAAUUUGGUGAGACUGUGUUUCCUGCAAUGGUCGGAGACAAGACUCUUAAAGACACCGUGGGGUGGGUCCUGAAAAAAACAAUGAACUCUUCGUGGUGAGACUCAUCAAUUGAAGUGGGGUCAACUGAACGCCUGCAUUCAAAGGGCUCACUUUGAAAAGUGUGGUUUUGGAUGCAGUCCGCCGGAAUGCCCUGACCAAAGAUAACACAGAAAAGGAGAUAGAGCUCCUCAUCACCAGGUGGUCGGUGCUAGCAUAUGACAGGGAUGGUGGCCGAAUCCAGACAUUAGACAGACAAUGAAUUAAAAUGUUUUAAAUUUAAAAAUGUUGAUUUUUGGAAAAUUCGUAUUUGAACUGAUUGUGUGUGUGUGUGUGUGUGUGCACCUGGUAAUUAUCACGUUGUGUCCCCACAAAGAUAGGAAUACCAGUAUUUUUGUGACCUUGUGUCCCCAUGAGGAAACAAGCUUAUAAAUCAAACAAAAUGAUGUUUCUUGUAAAUGUGAAGUAGGAGAAGGGUUUCUGUGAUGGUUGGGUUUAGGGAAUGGGGUAGGUAAGGGGAAUAAAAUAUACAGUUUGUAUGGUAUAAAAUGCAUUACGUCUAUGGAAUGUCCCCACAAAACAUGGAAACCUGUUUGUGUGUACGAGAGAGAGAGAAUGUGUGUUCAAGUGAAUAAAAAAUGCAUUAAACGUGAAA